CCAUUGGGGGUGGGAUAGAAUGCAGUUGUGCGUCUCUAAGCCAUGGUAGAGACGCGGCAUACGGCUCAGUAACACGUGGCUAACCUACCCUUAGGACGGGGACAACCCCGGGAAACUGGGGCUAAUAUCCGAUAGGUGAGGAGGCCUGGAAUGGUUCCUAGUCGAAAAGGCGUUGAAACCAUGCUUUUCGACGUCGCCUAAGGAUGGGGCCGCGCCCGAUCAGGUUGUUGGUGGGGCAACGGCUCACCAAGCCUAUAACCGGUACGGGCCGUGAGAGCGGGAGCCCGGAGAUGGGCACUGAGACAAAGACCCAGGCCCUACGGGGCGCAGCAGUCGCGAAAACUCCGCAAUGCACGAAAGUGUGACGGGGCUACCCCGAGUGCUCUCCGCUGAGGAAAGCUUUUCCCUGGUAUAACUAGCCAGGGGAAUAAGGAGAGGGCAAGACUGGUGUCAGCCGCCGCGGUAAUACCAGCUCUCCGAGUGGUAGGGAUGAUUAUUGGGCUUAAAGCGUCCGUAGCCGGCUUAGCAAGUCUCCUGUUAAACUCAGCGACUUAAUCGUUGAAUCGCGGGAGAUACUAUUAGGCUAGGAGGCGGGAGAGGUCGACGGUACUUCUGGGGUAGGGGUGAAAUCCUAUAAUCCCGGGAGGACCACCAGCGGCGAAGGCUGCUGACUAGAACACGCCUGACGGUGAGGGACGAAAGCUGGGGUAGCGAAUCGGAUUAGAUACCCGAGUAGUCCCAGCCGUAAACGAUGCAGGCUAGGUGUUGGGUCGGCCACGCGCCGCCUCAGUGCCACAGGGAAGCCAUUAAGCCUGCCGCCUGGGGAGUACGGCCGCAAGGCUGAAACUUAAAGGAAUUGGCGGGGGAGCACCACAAGGCGUGAAGCUUGCGGUUCAAUUGGAUUCAACGCCGGA
rnacentral:rRNA from 1 species